rnacentral:lncRNA from 1 species
AUAGUUUGAGAAGCACAGAGGCCUCAUCAGUAGCAUAAGAACAAUGAGAGGGAGAAAAACGUGUGGCCCCAAAACAUAGGAAAGCUUUGUUUUUCUGUUCUAACAGGGCUCUACACACAAGUUAAUCAUCAAACUCAGUUUCUUUGAUCUGUUUUCCCUUAUGGAGUUUUCCUACUCAGCAAAUUUUCAUUCCCAGUGUCAGUUCUGACCUGCAUUUCAAUAAAAAAUUUUAUGUAACCUACCUUCCUUCCUUUCUUCCCUCCUUCCUUCCUUCCCUCCUUCUUUUCUUUUUCUUUCUUUCCUUCUUUCUUUUCUUUUUCUUUCUUUCUUUCCUUCUUUCUUUUCUUUUUCUUUCUCUCUCUCUCUCUUCUCUCUCCCUUUCUUUCUUCUUUCUUUCUCUCUCUUUCUUUCUCUUUUCUCUCUCUCUCUCUUUUCUUUCUUGUCUCACUUUGUUGCCCAGGCUGGAGUGCAGUGGCGUGAUCAUGGCUCACUGCAGCCUUGAACUCCAGGUCUCAGGUGAUCCUCCCACCUCAGCCUCCUGAGUAGUUGAGACUACAGGCACAGGCCACCAUGUCUGGCAAAUUUUUCUUUUUUCUUUUUGUAGAGAUGGGGUUGCCCCAUAUUGUCCAGGCUAGUCUUGAACUCCUGGGCUUAAGCAAUCCGCCCACUUCAGCCUCUCAAAGUGUUGAGAUUACAGGUGAGAGCCACGGCACCCGGCCUAAUUUUAUAUUUCUAAUAUUUUUUAAAUGCCAUUAAAGUGAUUAUAAUUUGGAAUAGGUUUUAAAAGAGUAUUAAAUUACACACAUUAAAGGCAAGAAAAAUAAACAUGUACUCCAUUAGAAAGACAAGGCAAAUAAAUGUGAUACAUUGUCCUAGACUGGAUCUUAGACCAGGGGAAAAAAAAUCGGUAAGAGCAUUAUUGGGAAAAUUAACAAAAGUUGAAUAUAGGCUAUGGAUGAGAAAAUAAUAUUGUUUCAAUAUUAAAUUUUCUAUUUUCGAUAAGUGAUAUUGUGGCCAUGUUCUUUGGAAAUACACCCAGAAUUACACAGGAGUAAAGGAGCAUUAUGUUGCCAGGUGUGGUGUUGCACGCCUGUACUCCCAGCUACUCGGGAGGCUGAGGCAGGAGGAUUGCUUGAGUCCAGGAGUUCUGGGCUGUAGUGCGCUAUGCCGAUUGGGUGUCCACACUAAGUUUGGCAUAAAUAUGGUGACCUCCUGGGAACAGGGGACCACCAGGUUGCCUAAGGAGGGGUGAAUUGGCCAAGGUUGGAAACCAAGAAGGUCAAAACUCCCAUGCUGAUCAGUAGUGGGACUGAGCCUGUGAAUAGCUGCUGCACUUUAGCCUGGGCAACAUAGCAAGACCCCAUCUCAAAAAAAAAGGAGCAUAAUGUCUACACCUUAUUCUCAUAUGAUAACUAUAAUAAUAUGUUUAUACUUCCAUACAUAUAAUUAUAUAUUACACAUAAUACACAUGUACCUUACAUGAAAAUGGUGGGAGACCAAGUGAUAGAGCAAAUAAAGCAAAAUGUUAACAAUUGAUGAAGUAGGUAAACAGCAUACAAUAAUUCUUAAGUCAAAAUUAGAAGUUAUUUAAAAAACUGAAAAUAACGAGGUCUCUGGCCUACAAAUGUGGGCAAUUCUGCUGUGCAGCAAUUCCUUAGCCUCCUCACACGUCUUUGAGCUUUCUGAUGCAAAAAGUCCUGAAACCUAACUUGUCCUGGGGUUAAG